CCUACGAGGAGCAGCAGUGAGGAAUAUUGGUCAAUGGACGAGAGUCUGAACCAGCCAAGUAGCGUGAAGGAUGACUGCCCUAUGGGUUGUAAACUUCUUUUAUAUGGGAAUAAAACGUUCCACGUGUGUGAUUUUGUAUGUACAAUAUGAAUAAGGAUCGGUUAACUCCGUGCCAGCAGCCGCGGUAAUACGGAGGAGCCGAGCGUUAUCCGGAUUUAUUGGGUUUAAAGGGAGCGUAGGUGGAUUGUUAAGUCAGUUGUGAAAGUUAGCGGCUCAACCGUGAAAUUGCAGUUGAAACUGGCAGUCUUGAGUACAGUAGAGGCGAGCGGAAUUCGUGGUGUAGCGGUGAAAUGCUUAGAUAUCACGAAGAACUCCGAUUGCGGAGGCAGCUCACUGGACUGCAACUGACACUGAGGCUCGAAAGCGUGGGUAGCAAACAGGAUUAGAUACCCCUGUAGUC
rnacentral:rRNA from 1 species